UAGCUCAGCUGGUAGAGCGCUGGAUUGUGGUUCCAGUGGCCGAGGGUUCAAAUCCC
rnacentral:tRNA from 1 species